AUCUUGUUGAGUUCAAGGCUGUCAGCUCCACAGCUUCAAGAUCCACUCCUUGUGCAUCUCUUCACUGGAUACCAUGUCAAUGGAAAGGGCUACAUGAAGCUACACGUAUGAGAAGAGACUUGUGGAUAUUCUAAAAGAGCUUGUCAGCAUCCUAAUGAUUAAGGGAUAGAAUGGGUGGACAGCAGAAGAUUUGAGGAGUAUCACAAACAAAUUCAAUGAUAUGGAAACGGCACAUUUCACAAAACAGCAAGUGCAAGAAAAGGAGAAAGAGCUGAAAGGAAACUAUAAGAUAAUACAAGAAGCGAGGAAAAGUGGUGUUGGUUGGAAUGACACUUUGGGUAUGAUCAUUGCAGAACCAAAAGGUUGGGAGAAGUUGAUUAAGGAUAACCACAAAGUUGCCAAGAUCCUCAAGAAGUCAUUUUCUUUUUAUAACAGCUUGGAAUUAUUGUAUGAAGGAAGUGUGACCACAGGGCAUUUAAAUUUUACAUCAAUUGAGCCUCCACCCUAAAGAAUUGAGCUGUCAGCUGCACCUACUCCCCACAGAAGUGUGCUACGAGCUGAACCCACUCCCUAAAAAAGUAUCUCAGAGCAAAGCAAUCAUAGCACAACACCUAGCUUUGGAUAUAAUGGCAUGGCUUCUAAUGAUAGAAAUCCACUCAGUUUUGGUCUUGCUGGUGUAGAAAGCACAGAAAUUCAAUCUGCUCCAACCAAUCGUAAUUCAGACGACCAAGAUGUUACCGGUGGAAAGAUGUUACCGGUGGAAAGAAAUGCAAGCAAAGUCAGAUGGCAGCAAAACUCAAGGAUUACAUUGACUUUAAAAAGGAUCAGAUUGAAAAAACUCUAGAAAAGUUAGAAGAGAAGAAGAGACGUGAAGAAGACUACUCAAUCGAGAAAUGUAUUGACAUUGUGGAUGUCAUGGAAGGGCUAUCGGAUGAACAAAAAGCUGAUGCAAUUGAAGUUUUCCAAAGUGAAAGAACUAAAAAAUAUUGGUCAGCACCGAAAACCUAAGUGUUCGGCUGAUUUGGUUGAAGAAAAAUAUUGCUCGGAUAUGUUCCCUUUCUCAAUUUUGUACCCUUGCUCAAGUGCCGGUUGAAUCCUCUAUUUGCAUAUAUAAAACAUAAAAUUUUGUCCCCUGCUGGUGUCAUUGAUUUUACAUUUUUUUAUACUGCAGCUUUCUAACUCCAG